rnacentral:rRNA from 1 species
UAAUACGAAGGGACCUAGCGUAGUUCGGAAUUACUGGGCUUAAAGAGUUCGUAGGUGGUUGAAAAAGUUGGUGGUGAAAUCCCAGAGCUUAACUCUGGAACUGCCAUCAAAACUUUUCAGCUAGAGUAUGAUAGAGGAAAGCAGAAUUUCUAGUGUAGAGGUGAAAUUCGUAGAUAUUAGAAAGAAUACCAAUUGCGAAGGCAGCUUUCUGGAUCAUUACUGACACUGAGGAACGAAAGCAUGGGUAGCGAAGAGGAUUAGAUACCCUCGUAGUCCAUGCCGUAAACGAUGUGUGUUAGACGUUGGAAAUUUAUUUUCAGUGUCGCAGCGAAAGCGAUAAACACACCGCCUGGGGAGUACGACCGCAAGGUUAAAACUCAAAUGAAUUGACGGGGACCCGCACAAGUAGUGGAGCAUGUGGUUUAAUUCGAAGAUACGCGCAGAACCUUACCAACACUUGACAUGUUCGUCGCGACUUUAAGAGAUUAAAGUUUUCGGUUCGGCCGGACGAAACACAGGUGCUGCAUGGCUGUCGUCAGCUCGUGUCGUGAGAUGUUGGGUUAAGUCCCGCAACGAGCGCAACCCUCACUUUUAGUUGCCAUCAUUUAGUUGGGCACUCUGAAAGAACUGCCAGUGAUAAGCUGGAGGAAGGUGGGGAUGACGUCAAGUCCUCAUGGCCCUUACGUGUUGGGCUACACACGUGCUACAAUGGUAUCUACAACAGGAAGCAAAACCGCGAGGUUAAGCAAAUCCUUAAAAGAUACCUCAGUUCGGAUUGCACUCUGCAACUCGAGUGCAUGAAGCUGGAAUUACUAGUAAUCGUGGAUCAGCGUGCCACGGUGAAUGCGUUCCCGGGUCUUGUACACACCGCCCGUCACACCAUGGGAGUUGGUUCUACCUUAAGGCAAGGUUUUAAACCCUUGACCACGGUAUAGUCAGCGACUGGGGUGAAGUCGUAACAAGGUAGCCG